UUAUAGUUUAGUGGCGGACGGGUGAGUAACACGUGAGCAACCUGCCUUCGAGAGGGGAAUAACGGCUGGAAACGGUCGCUAAUACCGCAUAACAUACAGGAGGGACAUCCCUUUUGUAUCAAAGAUUUAUCGCUCGAAGAUGGGCUCGCGUCCGAUUAGGUAGUUGGUGAGGUAACGGCCCACCAAGCCGACGAUCGGUAGCCGGACUGAGAGGUUGAACGGCCACAUUGGGACUGAGACACGGCCCAAACUCCUACGGGAGGCAGCAG
rnacentral:rRNA from 1 species